rnacentral:rRNA from 1 species
AUUGAACGCUAGCGGGAUGCCUUACACAUGCAAGUCGAACGGCGUGGCGAACGGGAGAGGAAGGUAACGGAAUGUGCACAGUAGCGGGGGAUAACUACGAGAAAGCGUAGCUAAUACCGCAUACUAUUGGAGCGGCCGGUAUCGGAUUAGGUUGUUGGUGGGGUAACGGCCCACCAAGGCGACGAUCCGUAGCUGGUUUGAGAGGACGACCAGCCACACUGGGACUGAGACACGGCCCAGACUCCUACGGGAGGCAGCAGUGGGGAAUAUUGGACAAUGGGCGAAACCCUGAUCCAGCCAUCCCGCGUGUGUGAUGAAGGCCUUCGGGUUGUAAAGCACUUUUGGCAGGAAGGCGGUACCUGCAGAAUAAGCACCGGCUAACUACGUGCCAGCAGCCGCGGUAAUAC